rnacentral:rRNA from 1 species
UACGUAGGGGGCAAGCGUUGUCCGGAAUCAUUGGGCGUAAAGAGCGUGUAGGCGGCCCGAUAAGUCCGCCGUGAAAGUCCAGGGCUCAACCCUGGAAUGCCGGUGGAAACUGUCGGGCUGGAGUCCGGAAGAGGCGAGUGGAAUUCCUGGUGUAGCGGUGAAAUGCGCAGAUAUCAGGAGGAACACCAAUGGCGAAGGCAGCUCGCUGGGACGGUACUGACGCUGGAGACGCGAAAGCGUGGGAGCAAACAGG